UGAUAAACCCGACAGUAGCGGAAAUACUUUUUGCAAGUAAUGGUUUUGUGCUAUUGGUACAAACAUUUACAAAAAGAUUGGAGCAAAUGGCGGGGCUAACA
rnacentral:sRNA from 1 species